CUUUACUAUUUACAGAUUUUUUCAGUCUAAUACUUCAACAGUUUUAGGACAAACCGAGACUUUCUUCACUUGCUAAGUUCUCUUUUAAACUGAUAAA